rnacentral:rRNA from 1 species
AUGAGAUGGCUUGCAACAAGGAUUGUGGAGCACCUCGCUGGCGAUCUCAACCUUGCUCACUUUCCAGGAGCAUUGGAAUGUAUAUCCUCCCUCCUCGACCACAAAGCACUACAUUUACCAUUUAUACCUGGGCAAAGGGAGGAUGGUGAAGGAAUUGAUAAGGACCUGCUUUUGCCAGGAUUGAGAAUUCUAGAGAACCUGGCACAUGACACACAUAACUGCACACUGAUAUACAACUCCAAGGGUCUUCUUUCAAAAAUUGUUGCUCCUGUCAGCUCCAACGAAUUAGUAGAAGAUAUCAAGAGCAGCGCUGCAUGGACCAAGGUAGCAGAUGGGUCAUUGAAACUGGUGAGCCGCCUCAUGGGUUCUUCAGGAAGCACCGGCCAAAACAUGUGCAGACUAAUUGCGAACAAUAGUAAUGCAGUCAAAAACUUGGAGGUUGUUCUGGACAUGGACAUGAACAACAACAGCGGUAUCAUAGAGCUACACAUGCAAGCUCUAGAGGUUCUUACACAACUAGCCUUGCAUGAUCCAACAAAUACUUCUGUGACGACAAGAGAAAAACUUAUUGAGAGGGCUCUACACAUCUUCCUUACUGCAGAUUGGAUGGAAGACUAUUUGAAAGAUGAAAAAAAGAAGAUUUCCAAACCAACUACAAGCCAACAAAAUACUUUGCCAAGAUUGUCAACGGGAACAUGGAUGGAUAACCACAUUAAAAAGGCUAGAGAGAAGAGGGCCAAACAAGCAAGAGAAACGCGUGUGGAAAAGAAGAUGAAAGAAGUUCAGGAAACUGCAAGCCGGCUUAAAGAAAAGGCUGGUGAAGCAUUGGCCAUGUUGUCCAGUGAUUCAGAGGCUAUCAAGAGCUUCACAGGAUGCGACGAUGAUAUCUAUCGCCUUACUGAAUUACUCGACUGCAAUAUCAAGACCAUCCAAUGCAAAAUAAGUACAACAGAUACUGUGGAAAUAGAUAUUAACACGGGCUGUCGUAUUAGCGCAGGAGCCAUCUUGAAGAAUUUAAGCAACUACGUCAAGGCACCAACCUUACGGAAGGUAUUCGAACAAUUGCUUCCAGUAGAACAAGACGAGCCUUUCACUUCCUGGACCCCCAACAAGCAGUGUGGGGAUAGGAGUCUGCAAGCGGAGCUGUUAUCAUUCGUCGCUGCGAUCCGUGCAAACAACAAUCUUAAUCUUGCAGGAAUCUUACUUUCGCAGACGCCGGCGCCGGAUACCCUGGAAGACUUUGUGAUGAGGCUGAAGAAGAUGGUGGAGGACAACAUGUAUGCCACCCCUGCGUGCCUGGCGAUACAAAAGCUUACUUGUGAGCUGGUUAUAGAAUUCAUCAAGGAUGAUCGAAACAUCGAAAUGAUCGACAGACACAAUAUCGUUGCAACAUUACUGGAGGCUUCAGAGGUGAUGGGUUGUCUUGAGAGUAGAAUGCUUUUCGCUGGUGUCGAUCGUGACUGCCACGGGGUUCCUCUGAAGCCUCUUUCUUCUGUUCUCUCUAAAAAUGCCGAAGAUCUUCUGGCACAGAGGAAACAGGCUCUGGGUAUCAAACUAUCAACAUUGUGCCUGCCAGUGCACCAAUACCGUGAUUGCUGCAUCACAAAGUAUCUUUGCAUGUUAAAAACACUUGAACGAGUAUUGAAUUCUUGA